rnacentral:tRNA from 1 species
AGAAGUUUAGGAUAUAUGCAGUCCAAGAGCCUUCAAAGCCCUAAGAAAACAAACAGGUUUAACUUCUG